rnacentral:rRNA from 1 species
UUUGAGUCCUGGCUCAGGAGUGAACGCUGGCGGCGUGCUUAACACAUGCAAGUCGAACGGGGCGUGAUGUGCGAGAGGGAUAGUUUACUAGACUUCAAACUUUUCACGCCCUAGUGGCGGACGGGUGAGUAACGCGUGGGUAACCUGCCAUAUACAGGGGGAUAACACUUAGAAAUAGGUGCUAAUACCGCAUAAGCGCACAGGGGCGCAUGCCCCGGUGUGAAAACUCCGGUGGUAUAUGAUGGACCCGCGUCUGAUUAGCCAGUUGGCAGGGUAACGGCCUACCAAAGCGACGAUCAGUAGCCGGCCUGAGAGGGCGGACGGCCACAUUGGGACUGAGACACGGCCCAAACUCCUACGGGAGGCAGCAGUGGGGGAUAUUGCACAAUGGGGGAAACCCUGAUGCAGCGACGCCGCGUGAGUGAAGAAGUAUUUCGGCAUGUAAAGCUCUAUCAGCAGGGAAGAAAAUGACAGUACCUGACCAAGAAGCCCCGGCUAACUACGUG